GCUCCUUCCUGCAGCCUGUCAGGCGUCGGCCCACCCUGCAACAUCCAGGAUGUCAUUUGAGCCCUGGUCACACGAAAGCACUGCAUGGGAUGAAGGUGUCCUUAUGAAGGAGGCAAAGGGAGUUCUGACACGGAGAAGAGUGGUCCAUGUGAAGAUGGAGGCUGAUAUUGGAGUGAUGCAGCCACACUCCAAGGAACACCCGGAGCCGCCAGAAGCCGGAAGAGGCAAGGAAAGACCCCCACCCAGAGCCGUCAGAGAGCACAGUACUGCUGACACCUUGAUUUCAGACUUCUGGCUUCCAGGACUGUGAGAGUAAAUUUCUGUUGUUUUAAACUGCCCAGUUUGUGGUAGUGUGUUAUAGCAGCCACAGAAACUAAUAGAGACUGGUC
rnacentral:lncRNA from 10 species